ACGCUGCCGCCCGCCUCGCAACCGCCGCCUACUGGCGACCGCAACAUCUUCGAGGGCGACGGACUCUACGCCGGCCAUGAUCAAUAUUCGGACCCCCUACUAGCCUGGAGCUCGGUUGACUUGGAACCAGUGCAGUCGACAAGCCGUGGUUAUGGUGCCAGCUCUUCUUCAUACGUGCAGGUUGAAACUCGGUACAACGAACGUACAAAUCAGACGAGCUCGCACACAACUGCUAGCCGACCGCCAUG